AGGCGCUUAGCUCAGUCGGUAGAGCAUCACCUUCACACGGUGGGGGUCAGCGGUUCGAGUCCGCUAGCGCCUACCA
rnacentral:tRNA from 2 species